rnacentral:tRNA from 1 species
GCCGCACUAGCUCAGGGGUAGAGCACUCCCUUGGUAAGGGAGAGGCCGAAAGUUCGAAUCUUUCGUGCGGCACCA